GACGAACGCUGGCGGCGUGCUUAACACAUGCAAGUCGAACGGUAAGGCUCCAGCUUGCUGGGGUACACGAGUGGCGAACGGGUGAGUAACACGUGGGUGACCUGCCCUGCACUUCGGGAUAAGCCUGGGAAACUGGGUCUAAUACCGGAUAGGACCGCACCGUGAGGGUGUGGUGGAAAGUUUUUUCGGUGUGGGAUGGGCCCGCGGCCUAUCAGCUUGUUGGUGGGGUAAUGGCCUACCAAGGCGGCGACGGGUAGCCGGCCUGAGAGGGUGGACGGCCACAUUGGGACUGAGACACGGCCCAGACUCCUACGGGAGGCAGCAGUGGGGAAUAUUGCACAAUGGGCGGAAGCCUGAUGCAGCGACGCCGCGUGGGGGAUGACGGCCUUCGGGUUGUAAACUCCUUUCACCAUCGACGAAGGGUUUCUGACGGUAGAUGGAGAAGAAGCACCGGCUAACUACGUGCCAGCAGCCGCGGUAAUACGUAGGGUGCGAGCGUUGUCCGGAAUUACUGGGCGUAAAGAGCUCGUAGGUGGUUUGUCGCGUCGUCUGUGAAAUUCCGGGGCUUAACUCCGGGCGUGCAGGCGAUACGGGCAUAACUUGAGUACUGUAGGGGAGACUGGAAUUCCUGGUGUAGCGGUGAAAUGCGCAGAUAUCAGGAGGAACACCGGUGGCGAAGGCGGGUCUCUGGGCAGUAACUGACGCUGAGGAGCGAAAGCAUGGGGAGCGAACAGGAUUAGAUACCCUGGUAGUCCACGCCGUAAACGGUGGGCGCUAGGUGUGGGUUUCCUUCCACGGGAUCCGUGCCGUAGCUAACGCAUUAAGCGCCCCGCCUGGGGAGUACGGCCGCAAGGCUAAAACUCAAAGGAAUUGACGGGGGCCCGCACAAGCGGCGGAGCAUGUGGAUUAAUUCGAUGCAACGCGAAGAACCUUACCUGGGCUUGACAUAUACAGGAUCGCGCCAGAGAUGGUGUUUCCCUUGUGGCUUGUAUACAGGUGGUGCAUGGUUGUCGUCAGCUCGUGUCGUGAGAUGUUGGGUUAAGUCCCGCAACGAGCGCAACCCUUGUCUUAUGUCGCCAGCACGUUGUGGUGGGGACUCGUAAGAAACUGCCGGGGUUAACUCGGAGGAAGGUGGGGAUGACGUCAAAUCAUCAUGCCCCUUAUGUCCAGGGCUUCACACAUGCUACAAUGGUCGGUACAGUGGGUUGCCAGUCCGUGAGGGCGAGCUAAUCCCGCAAAGCCGGUCUCAGUUCGGAUCGGGGUCUGCAACUCGACCCCGUGAAGUCGGAGUCGCUAGUAAUCGCAGAUCAGCAACGCUGCGGUGAAUACGAUCCCGGGCCU
rnacentral:rRNA from 1 species